rnacentral:rRNA from 1 species
AGAGUUUGAUCAUGGCUCAGAUUGAACGCUGGCGGCAUGCCUUACACAUGCAAGUCGAACGGUAACGGGCCUUCGGGUGCCGACGAGUGGCGAACGGGUGAGUAAUGCAUCGGAACGUACCUUUCAGUGGGGGAUAACGUAGCGAAAGUUACGCUAAUACCGCAUAUUCUGUGAGCAGGAAAGCAGGGGAUCGCAAGACCUUGCGCUGAUUGAGCGGCCGAUGUCAGAUUAGCUAGUUGGUGAGGUAAAGGCUCACCAAGGCGACGAUCUGUAGCGGGUCUGAGAGGAUGAUCCGCCACACUGGAACUGAGACACGGUCCAGACUCCUACGGGAGGCAGCAGUGGGGAAUUUUGGACAAUGGGGGCAACCCUGAUCCAGCCAUGCCGCGUGAGUGAAGAAGGCCUUCGGGUUGUAAAGCUCUUUCGGUCGGGAAGAAAUCGUAUGGGCUAAUACCCUGUGCGGAUGACGGUACCGGCAUAAGAAGCACCGGCUAACUACGUG